CUUUGGAUGGUGCUGCUGGAGAUGGAGAGCCACUUGGAGAGAAAACAGGAUGGACAAUGCUUUCCUUCAACUCUGAGCCUUUUGGUAUUUGUUUAGCAGCUUUCAGUAGCAAAACACACCUGAAAGAGGCUGCCUCUGGAAAGGUACCUUGAAGCACUGAUCCGUUCCUCCAAAGCUGUCUGUGGCAACUUGUGCGUGCAAGGGUGGAAAGGACGGGCUGUGAUGAGUGCCAUAAAACCAAAGGGAGCGGAGAGAGAUGCCUGCAAAAUUCAAAGUGCUUUAUUAAGCCCCCUUUCCAUAAUCUCUGGGAGGGAGGGAAAAGCAGCUCUUUCAAGCUUGGCUAGGCUUAGAAUUAGCUGCUGUCUUCCUUUCAUUGUCUGCACACCUUUAUGGUACUGCUGCUGUCUUGUCAGGAGCUGCACCUCCUGAGCAGCCAGGCUGCUCCUGUGUGCAGAGGGCCAUCAUUUCAUCUCACCUUUACAGAUAUAUUGCUUUGACUUUGGCAGCUGAGAGGAAAGUCUCAAUGUUAACUCUAAUUAGUAGUUUUUUGUUGUUGUCCUUGUUUUCUCUAGUAAAACUUGUUUGAUGUCAGCUUGGCUGUGAAUAUCUCCAUGUCCUUGCUUAAGAAAUGAAAGUUGGGAAAGCGUGUUUGGUUUUUGUAAGUUUUACUUUGCUUUUAUACAACAAGAAAUAUGGGAAAUAAAUACCUUUACAGCUUAUUCUCAAUGUAUGUGAAAAAACCUUAAGCUUUUGGAAGACCUGACUCAUAGCUAUCUAAAUGUAGCAGGGAUGUAGCUUGGGAGGCUGAAGAUUUUUCUAAGUAUUUGUAUAAUUAUUUCUCAGUUUUGCAUGGUAACAGUAAAAUUAGCUUAUUUUUGUUGGUGUAGGAAGCAUUUGAUCACCUUUAUUCAUAGUAACACCAAGAGAGAUUUCAAUUCCAGUGUCUCUGAAGGCGGUGCUGCACUUCCAAAAUAUUCUUGAGGAAUGCACAGUAAAAAAAAAAAAUCCCAACUCUUUAAUGGCUAUCAAAAUUUCAGUCUUAGGCAACAACUCAAACAUUUGGAUCCCUUUUGAAAAGGGGAAGGGAGGCUAUUAAGGUCCACAAGCUGUUGCUAACCUCCACCUGUUAUGUUCUAUUCCCUUUCCCAAGAAGUGGAUUUGCUUCAUAGAAGGCGGAAUUUUGUUGGCAGAGCUGCUCAGGCUCUCCUGCACAGGUGAUGGUUAUUCCUGAGCUCUGUGAUGGCUCCUUCCUGCCAGAAUUCAUUACAAGCACAGGCUCUGCCGUCCUCCUGCACCUUGAGCUCAUGGGCAUCAGGGCUCUGCCAGCAGUAGCUUUGUACAGAGGAUAAAGCCUGGGUUUGCUGACUGAAGUCAAAGGCUUAUAUGCUCAACAUCUAGUGCAAGAGAUAAAUUUUGUCUUUUAAG